AUGUACAGCGGACUAACUGAAUAGCUCCUCGGCGGUGAUUGGUGCGCGCACUUACGAGCCAAGUUUUAAUGUAUUUACAGCACCUACGGUUGUGUCCGCGGCUCGUGGUCUUGCGGUAGCGUUCUCGCUUCACGUACACGGGGUCCCGGGUUCGAUUCCCGGCGGGGUCAGGGAUAUUCUCUGCCUCGAGAUGAAUAGGAAGGGAGGUCGUUCACACGUAUCAAGAACAGAAGAGGACCCAUGAUUGAAACCUGUGGAACACCUAAUGCAAUUUCACCCCAGUUAGAUGAAGUGGCAAACUUAUUUAAAUCACUUGACCCACAUAAGGAAACUUUUUGCUUCCUGUUCUGUAGGAAAUGUUUUGGGGUUGCUGCUAAUGAAAACACAGCAAGACCGACAGGAGGAGCCCGUGAACAAACAAGACGGAUGAACGGGAAUGGAAGGAUAAGCACAAUGACAGACAACCGAGCAAGACACCAAGAUCAACAACAAAGUAUUAAGCAACAGGGUCACAAGAGACAACCUCAUGAAAUCAAAACAAUGCCUGCUUGUAAAACAGGAAGUAAGCACACACAAUGUAAACAAGAUGCCUGUAAGCAAGAUAUCAACUGAAUCAACAUGAGUACCAGACUGCCUCACUGAGUGAGCUGCAGCUGCCUAAAUACAUGGCAGGGUAUGUCACUAUUGGCCGCUGAGACCAUGUGCUCCAUAGUGGCGCCCUCACGUUAGAUUUGGGCCCAGGAGUGCAUGCAGCCACAGCUUACGGCGCAACUGCUGCAGCGACCUCUAGUGGUCAUAGAGUUCCAUGCCGUCUGGCAGGGAUUAAAAAAUCGCGGUGCUCGGUAUCAGACAUAGUGCACGAGUUUGGUUUUUUUAAUGACAGAACACAGGGUUCAACAAUA